UAGGGAAUCUUCCACAAUGGACGCAAGUCUGAUGGAGCAACGCCGCGUGAGUGAAGAAGGUUUUCGGACCGUAAAGCUCUGUUGUUGGUGAAGAAGGAUAGAGGUAGUAACUGGCCUUUAUUUGACGGUAAUCAACCAGAAAGUCACGGCUAACUACGUGCCAGCAGCCGCGGUAAUACGUAGGUGGCAAGCGUUGUCCGGAUUUAUUGGGCGUAAAGCGAGCGCAGGCGGAAGAAUAAGUCUGAUGUGAAAGCCCUCGGCUUAACCGAGGAAUUGCAUCGGAAACUGUUUUUCUUGAGUGCAGAAGAGGAGAGUAGAACUCCAUGUGUAGCGGUGGAAUGCGUAGAUAUAUGGAAGAAUACCAGUGGCGAAGGCGGCUCUCUGGUCUGCAACUGACGCUGAGGCUCGAAAAGCAUGGGUAGCGAACAGGAUUAGAUACCCUGGUAGUCCAUGCCGUAAACGAUGAGUGCUAAGUGUUGGGAGGCUUCCGCCUCUCAGUGCUGCAGCUAACGCAUUAAGCACUCCGCCUGGGGGAGUACGACCGCAAGGU
rnacentral:rRNA from 1 species